rnacentral:rRNA from 1 species
UACGUAGGGUGCAAGCGUUGUCCGGAAUUAUUGGGCGUAAAGAGCUCGUAGGCGGUCUGUCGCGUCGGCUGUGAAAACCCGGGGCUCAACCCCGGGCCUGCAGUCGAUACGGGCAGACUAGAGUGCGGUAGGGGAGACUGGAAUUCCUGGUGUAGCGGUGAAAUGCGUAGAUAUCAGGAGGAACACCGGUGGUGUAGACGGCUUACUGGACCACGACUGACACUGAGGCACGAAAGCGUGGGUAGCAAACAGG